rnacentral:tRNA from 1 species
GCCCCCGUAGCACAAUGGAUAGUGCAAGGGACUUCUAAGCCCGAGAUGUAGGUUCGAUUCCUACCGGGGGUACCA